rnacentral:rRNA from 1 species
UACGGAGGGAGCUAGCGUUGUUCGGAAUUACUGGGCGUAAAGCGCGCGUAGGCGGCUUUGUAAGUCAGAGGUGAAAUCCCGGAGCUCAACUCCGGAACUGCCUUUGAAACUGCAUCGCUUGAAUCCGGGAGAGGUGAGUGGAAUCCCGAGUGUAGAGGUGAAAUUCGUAGAUAUUCGGAAGAACACCAGUGGCGAAGGCGGCUCACUGGACCGGUAUUGACGCUGAGGUGCGAAAGCGUGGGGAGCAAACAGG